CCUACGGGUGGCAGCAGUGAGGAAUAUUGGUCAAUGGUCGGGAGACUGAACCAGCCAAGCCGCGUGAGGGAUGAAGGUACAGAGUAUCGUAAACCUCUUUUGUCAGGGAACAAAGGCGGGGACGUGUCCCCGGAUGAGUGUACCUGAAGAAAAAGCAUCGGCUAACUCCGUGCCAGCAGCCGCGGUAAUACGGGGGAUGCGAGCGUUAUCCGGAUUUAUGGGGUUUAAGGGGUGCGAGGGGGGUCUGGUAAGUCAGCGGUCAAAGCCCGGGGCCCAACCCCGGCCCGCCGUUGAAACUGGCAGUCUCGAGUUGGAGAGAGGUAUGCGGAAUGCGCGGUGUAGCGGUGAAAUGCAUAGAUAUCGCGCAGAACUCCGAUUGCGAAGGCAGCAUGCCGGCUCCACACUGACGCUGAGGCACGAAAGCGUGGGUAGCGAACAGGAUUAGAUACCCGAGUAGUC
rnacentral:rRNA from 1 species